UCUGGCAGUGAUGACACCCUUGCCCUCACUGAGAACGCUGUUCAGUAAUGAAAAGCAUGCUAUGUACUCAGAUGUGCUGAGCUGGA